CUGUUAAGUGUCAACAACUCAACGUGGCCGGAGAAGGUGUGUGAAACUCGUUGUGAGUUAUACUAAAGCAAAAUCUUGAGUAUUUAUUGUCUGAUAAACAUUAAAAACUGUCUGCGGAGGUUGAGUCGUCCUGCAGCCCCCGCUGGCUGCUCAUUGGCUGCAGCAUCUUUUUUCUAAGUUCUAAAAAAAUACCGUAGACGGCAAGGCACAAAUUUAGAUAUUAAUUUAUCUAAUUAAUCAAUAGCCUAUGCACAAAGACAAUAUGAUCUUUUUGUCCCCUUUUUGUUUUAAAGCUUGAUGAAAAGAGAGAGCGCAAGUUGCUGCAGCUGCGAGGAGGACAGUGAUGCACGCGUACAGGAGUGAUUGACAGUUCGUGGCACUGUGACGGGAACAGCAACAAAAGUUUAACUUCUGAUUCGUAAUCCACACGCUCUACUGGUAACACUGCUGACACCUAGUGAUUAGUUUUAGUAACAUUACUGAUAAAUACAAAUACAUUCUGUUACUAACAAUAAUGUCUUGUGUGAAGUGUUCAUUCUGUAUUAAAACAGUCUUUGUUUAAAAUAAUCUUUAAAACUACGCUUUGAAAUGAUUCUGGCAGUAUGUUUUUGAAAAUCUGUUCACCAAAAAGGUAAAAAUUGGCAUUGUGAAGUUAUAUUUAUAAUAAUCGUUUAUAUUUAUAUUUGUGUUUCAGGGCAGUUGGUGAAGACAGAGAGAUGUUGUGACGUCCAGGACAGUUCCUCCUUCAACACCAGACUCUGCUGGCACCUAUUUUUCAAGGACACCCUCAGAAUUACAACAAAUUUUAAGGCUUAAAAUUAUUGUGGUUUGGAGUAUAAUGAACAUAAUAUGAAUGUUUCAUAAAUUAUUUUGUGGAUUUUCUGAACCCUUAAUAACUGUUAUUUUUUCUUAUUUUGAGCAAAUUUGAGUCGUGACAUGUCAAAGGAGAACAAAAGCUGUGAACAGAAGAAGGGUCAGAUGUGUGUGUUCUGCGAAGUCCUGCAAACAUACUGGCAAAAUGAGAGUCAUCGAGGAACCAGCUUGUUCUUGAAACAUUGGUAAGAAAUUGUUCAUCUGCUACAUUGCACUGUCACUUCUGCUAGAGAUGCUUUGACCUUUUGUGAUAGGUUUUGAUUGUACUUAGUUUAUUAAAAAAUUACUGAAUUAGAUUUUAUUUGUUUUACUACACUGUAAUGUUAGUGUUCUGAUUAAAACAGUGUAACUGGGGGCUCUGA
rnacentral:lncRNA from 1 species